rnacentral:lncRNA from 1 species
UUGGGAUUACAGGCAUGAGCCACCGCACCUGGCCAAAUGACUGGUUCUUUAAAGAAAAAUGAAGAAGAAUAAAAUCUGGGACUGGAUGGAAAGCUUAAGCAUGUCACGCAUGGUCUGUUCACAAGCACCUCUUCGGCAAAGCCCACCUCCCUCUCUCGCUUGAUUCCCCGGCCAUCCUUAUCAAAGACCUUCCAGGUGAACAGGCAGCCAUCCUCAGCAGCAGUCAGCAGGAACUGAUCAUCAAAGAAACUUGCAAAAAUAGCACAGAGAGAGUGGACUUCUGGAAUGGCACGGCAACAAAAUUCCCUACGGCAGCACCCAAAGGCUUGAAAUUAGCCAUUCCAAGUGUGUCCAAAAAACUAAAGGAAACCAUGAUUAAACAAGUAAAGGUAGAAAUGAUAUGCAUCAAAUAGAGAAGAAUAAAAGGAUCCCAUCAAUAUAGGGAUAGAACUGUAAGAAAAUAGAAAUUCUAGAGUUAAAAACUACAAUAACUGAAAUGAAAAAUCCACUAGAGGUGCUCAAGAAUAGAUCUGAACUGGCAGAAGAAUUAGUGAACUUUAUAGAUCAAAAAAGAUUAGCAAUUUGAAGAACAGAGAGGAAAAAGAAUUAGAAAUUUACAGAGCCUCAGAAAAAUGUGGGACACCAUUAAGCACACCAACUAAUGCAUAAGGUGAAUGCUAGAAGGAGAGGAGAAAGAGAAAGGAACAGAAAAAACAUUUUCAUAAAUAAUUGCUGAAAAUAUUAUAAAUUUAUUGGGAAACACCAGUGUACACAUAUAGGAAGCUCAAUGAACUCCAAGUAGGAAAAACACAAAGAGUUCCACAAACAGACACAUUUUGGCAAAAAUAAUGAAAGCUAAAGAUGAGAAGAAAAUUUUGAAAGCAUCAAUAGAAAAAUGACUGAUCACUUACAAAAGAGUCCCAAUAAGAUUAAUAGCAGAUAUCUCAGCAACAACAACGGAAGCCAGAAGAGAAUGGGAUAACAUGUUCAAAGUGCUUAAAGAAAAAGCUGUCAAACAAAAAUCCUGCAAAGCUAUCUUUUAGAACUAAAGGUGAAAAAAAAUUACCAAAAAAACUGAAAAAAUAUGUUGCUAGCAGAUAUGACUUACAGAAAAUACUAAAGGAAAUCCUUUAGGUUGAAAGCAAGUUACUCCAGAUAGUAAUUCAAAUCCACACAAAACAAAGAGCACUGGUAAAGCCAGUAGACAAGAUUUGACUCUGGAGGUGACGUCUGAGCCAAUAGGUAUUUGGAGUCUGGAGAAAAAGCCAUGCUAAUAAAUUUC